rnacentral:rRNA from 1 species
ACGAACCGAGCGAACGUUGUUCGGAAUCACUGGGCUUAAAGGGUGCGUAGGCGGGCUGCCAAGUUUGAGGUGAAAUCCUCCGGCUCAACCGGGGAAGUGCCUUGAAUACUGGCGGUCUGGAGGGAGGUAGGGGCGUGCGGAACUAACGGUGGAGCGGUGAAAUGCGUUGAUAUCGUUAGGAACUCCGGUGGCGAAGGCGGCACGCUGGACCUUUACUGACGCUGAGGCACGAAAGCCAGGGGAGCGAACGGGAUUAGAUACCCCGGUAGUCCUGGCCCUAAACGUUGAGAACUAGGUAGUAGGCCGGACAUGGGCUUACUGCCGGAGCAAAAGUGCUAAGUUCUCCGCCUGGGGAGUAUGGUCGCAAGGCUG